rnacentral:rRNA from 1 species
GACUCUUGGCGGUGGAUCACUCGGCUGGUGCGUGGAUGAAAAAUGCAGCUAGCACUUUUAGAAUUAAAGUGAAUUGCAGGACACAUUGAUCACCCACACUUUAAACGCACUUGACGCGUUCCUCUUGGGGUUCCUCUUGGGGCUACGCUUGUCUGAGCGUCG